AGGUGGUUAUCUCAGUGGUUAAAAUGUUGGACAACCGAUGAAAAGGUCGCGAGUUCAAAUCCUAGCACUGCCAA